GGAUUCUGCCAGUGCUGGAAGCAGCAUGUUGGUCAGCCAGCGAGUGACAGGGGCGCGAGCCCGGGCACCUCAGCUUGCGGGUCUCCUCGAGGCUUGGUACCGCCACGGCCGGACCACAUCCUCCUACUCCGCUCUCUCUGAGCCGUCACGGGUGCGGGCGCUGGUCUAUGGCAACCAUGGGGAUCCAGCCAAGGUCGUCCAGUAAGAGUCGGCGCCGCCACCGGGGAGGGAGCUGGGGUUCCUGGAGGGUUUUGAGGCGGGCGGCGGACUGCCAGGAGAGGACAGGGUCCGAGGAAGAGGGUUCUGCUGUCCUACAGAUGCCGAGACCCCAGGGCGUGCUUGCUGACCCGACACCGGUGCUUUCCGGCGGCCAAGGACCCGCGAGGCACCGGUGCCAGAGUUUACUGACCCAUAUUGGUUUGAAGAUUGUGGCAGUCACUCCUUUGUCUCAGUGGAUGCUUCCGACUAUUUGUCACAGCAACAGUCUGGGGGUAUUUAUUGCAUUUUUUUUUCAGAUGAGAAAAGCGAGGCAUAAGAAAGUUAAAAUUAACAUUUGCCCCAAGUCACCCAGCCAGUGAGAAUAGAAAUUUGAACAUACGGUCUGACAGCCUACCUAGAUUCUACACCUGUUUUUAAAUAGGAGAUUAUUGUUUGCCUUUCACAGAGGCCGAGGGGCUUGUCUAAAAUGAUACGGCUAAUUAGUGAUUGGAAUAGGUGCCGGAAUUCACCUGUUUCUCAUGCGAGUUCCCUUCCACCAAGCCAUGUGUGCAUCUUGGCCUAAUUAUGACGAGUUGUUUAAACCCAGCUUGAUGGCAUGUGCCGUUAAUCCCAGCACUAGUGAGGCAGAGGCCCGCAGAUCUCUGUGAGUUCAAGGCCAGUCUAGUCUACAUAGUCAGUUCCAGGAUAGCCAGGACUAUAGAGAGAGACCCUGUCUCAAAACAAACAAGCAAAAAGGAGUUGUUUCAUAAUCCCAGGAUGCUGAGGUAAAAGGGUUAUGAGUUUGAGACCAACAUGGGUUGCAUAAUGAGCCUUUGUCUCAAAAUACACACUCACAGUAAAAAUACAUAAAAAUUU
rnacentral:lncRNA from 1 species